rnacentral:rRNA from 1 species
GAAUUGGAUUCGGGCUUUUUUUGCGCAGUCUAGGUGGGAGGCGUUGAUAUUAAGUUUUCGGAUUUAAUGGAGCCAUUAGUGAGAGACCACUCUAAAAGAGCUAGAAUUCUAAUAGGAUUCCUUGAAUCAGGAUCCUUGACAGUUUCAGAUGGACAGUUUGACUGGGGCGGUGACCUCCCAAAAGGUAACGGAGGUGUGCAAAGGUUCCCUCAAGCUGGACGGAAAUCAGCUGUAGAGUGCAAAGGUAUAAGGGAGCUUGACUGCAAGACCAACAAGUCGAGCAGAGGCGAAAGCCGGCCUUAGUGAUCCGACGGUUCCGAGUGGAA